rnacentral:lncRNA from 1 species
UAAAAUUGUGACUACAUAAGCAUAUUUAAGAGUGCGAGCGAAUCAUAGGACGAAAAUAAAAAUUAAAAAAAAAGCGAAAGGUGUAUUCUUUAUGAGAAAAAAUAUACAUAUAUCUACAUAUGUUAGAUCUAUGAAUAAUAAAUAUUCACUAAAAAUAUAUAUACUAUUAUAUUUAUUCAGCUAAUACUGAAAAAGGGCUAGAAUAUUCUAAACACUGUCAAAAAAAAAAAAAAAAAAAAAAAUAAAAAAAACAAAUGAAUAACAGUCUCCCAACAUAAAAAAAUACAGCAUAACGCUCUCUUUUUCUUAUAAACACAGUUUUGUAAAAUUGUAAGUUUUUUAUAAGAACAAGUAUACAUACGUGCGUCCAUAUAUAUAUAUAUAUAUUGUAAAAAAGUAUGCCAAAAAAUUGUUUUAUUAACUGAACAAUUAACAAUUUUAUGCUUUUUUAAUACUAACUUAUUUUUAAUUUAAGUUUUUGUGUGUUUUUUACACGAAGUUAUAAAAAUAUAUCAUAAAUAACAAACAGAACUGAAGCACCUGCAUUUACUGAAGUAGUAAAAAUAGUUAAACAUAAAAAGAAAAAUAUAAACAAAAGAAAAAAAAAAAAAAUGAAUAUACAGAAGGCUAAAGAGAAUUCCAAACUAAUAGAACUUUCAAAGCAAAACUUAGAAAAUGUAACAAAACCUUUACCAAAAAAUUACACAUAUAUGUAUGAAUAUAUAUAUAUAUGCAUGUAUGUAUAUGCAUAUAAAUGAGUAAAAGUAUAACUAUAUAUAUUUUUUUCUUUUCCUUCUAACCUUUUUUUUUUAUAGCAAACGAAAAAGGAACUGGAAAUCAAACAAAAACAACAGUACAACUACAACAUUGAAUUGCAAAAAAAAAAAAAUAAAUAAAAUAACAUCCAAGCAUAUAAUGGACAUAUACUAAUUUACAUUAAUUAAACUGUUUGUGUUAUAUGUACUCAAACGCAAGCAUCUUUGAACCGCUUACCUAAUUUUAUUUUAUUUUAUUUUAUUUGGUUUUAUUUGGUUUUAUUUUAUUUUAUUUUAUUUGGUUUUAUUUUAUUUUAUUUUCUUUUAUAUAGAGAAAUAUUAGAACAAAGAAGAGUUAUUUUGAAAUCCUUACUAACACCAGAUGCCCACGCUAGAUUAUCUAGGAUAAGUAUUGUCAAAGAAGAAAAUGCGAGGCAAAUAGAAGACAUAAUUAUUAGGGUAAAAAAAAAAAAAAAAAAAAAAAAAAAAGGACAUGGUGUUUUUUUAACGGUUGCAACAUACAUAGUCUUACCAAAAUGUUAUCACGUUUUAGUCAUACUUAUACAAUCGCGCAUACCUAUAAUAAGAUAUCCUUUAAAAAAAUAAAUAAAAGGAAUGAAAUAAAUAAAAAAAAUAAGUUAUAAUAGUGACGCUA